CAGGGGAUUAUGGAGGGUUAGGGAGGGUGGUCCCAGAGGGUCCAGCAGAGUAAUGGGAUUAGCCUUCAGGCAGUGAGUGAAAGUUAUUAGUGUGUGGGGCCUCUGGCUCCCCACCGGAGGCUGCAGCUGUCACCCAUCCCCAGGAGAGAGUCACUAGCAGCGCCCCCACCCCCACCUUAAGGCAGGCUGGCACCCUCUGCCCCCAACAGGCUUUCCUACUGUGAUCAUCUGUCGGGGGGGACUGGCCUCCUAGCCUUAGCCUCCUGCCUACCCCUGACAGACUAGGCCACCCACACACAGUCUACCCUAGCAGUGCUCUGUGCCUCGGUUUCCCCAUCUAGACAGGAGGCUACAGACAGUGAGGGUGCUCGAGACCCUGAGGGAGAGCCCCUGACGCGUGGAGGAUCGGACCCCCUGGGUCGGCUGAGCCUUAGCUGUGCCACCCCGGACGCAUCUGCUGGCCUCUCUGUGUCCUAAUGUAGAAAACCGGGGCAGGAGCACCGCAGGGUUUUCACAGGGGAGGGCCAGGCCACGGGGCGAGGUGCCUGAGGCCUAACGACUGGUCCGGAGCCUCGCGGAGCCCGCGGCGGUGAAGGGCGGGCGGCUCCCGGCUCCCUCUAGCGGUGAAGGCGAGGAAGCCCCCUCCGGGCCGGGCGCCGGCGGGAAGGCCCGGCUGGGGCCGCGGGGCUCCCGGAGGGCGCGCCCCGACCUCGUUCCUCCCAAGCGGCGGGCGGAGGGGCGCCGAGGACCCUAAAGGCGUCCCUUCCCCACCAGCGCCUGACUUCCGUCGUGAGAGCGACUUUCCUUCAGCUUGCACGCCGGUCUGUUGAACCGAGAAGGUCUUACCUCUUGUUGACCCGGCCCGCAGCCCAGGCACCCGCGAGCAUUGAUUGACCCAGGCUGGCAGCGCGGGACCUGGAGGAUCCCCAGUGUGAAGAUUCUUACCGACCUGCUAUAGUAAUCACCGCCCGCUAGCCGCACCCCCCCUAAACCUAGUGAAAUUGUUUAGUGAUGCCAACCGCGCUUUUAAUUUGCAAGACAUCAGACACAGAGGAUGAUGAGGUUCAACAGGAAGGCAACCCUGCUACCACAUUCCAAAAAUUAUGCCAAGAGGGAUGCACUGAUCAUCAGCUACCACACUGUAUGCUGUGCAGAAGAGGAGCAGGACCUCCAUGUCAAGUCAUGAUUGACAGGCCCUUCUAUUGCAGUGCACAGACCAUGAACGGAGAAAGUCACAAUAUAGACUGUCACCAUAGGGUGAAUGUGUGAACUGCUGCGGAGAAUGUGGGAGAGGAGACCACUUGUACACAUUUAAGGACAGCAAAUGGAUAAACUACAAGCGACCUCCAGGUUUAUGCAGUUUCUAUUACCCCCUUCAUAGCUUCCCUAGGGCUGUCAGGUUCAUGGCAGCUGUAAAUACCUGGGUAUACUUAGAGAGGUCAGGGCUGAAGGGAGGACUGCAUCCUGCCUGCUCUGAAGGUAGCGUGUGGCUUAAUACAAUCUCUUCUUUAGCUUCUCCAAUUCCUCCAUCUACAGUUAGCCUUGCCUCUGGCUCCCCUUCCACAACGACUAUCCCCAAACUGCCUUCUCUGCAGUAAAUUUUCCUGGUGGCUGGUUGAAAAAGAUUCAGUGGUACAGAUUGAUUUCUCACCAGCGAGGGGAUGAGGGAUUACCAGAGGCACCCUGGUUAACGAGAUUGGGUGCAGAAUCUCUCAUGAGACCAACCCUCUCUGCCAGGGCUUUGCACCUUUCGCCCAUGACAUAUGGGUUUCAUUACAGAAAGAUUUUCCAGAUUAUAACUUUGAGGCAAUUGCCUGAUAAAAUUCUGCUCGGCUUUAAUGUAGAGAACAAUGUAAAGAUUAAGUAACUUUUUAAUGAAAUGGGAGAAACUCAUAAUGUUUGGUUUUCAAUUCCAAUGCAAACUACUUUAAAUAUUUCUGUGCCUCAACAUAAUUAAAAACAUUGUGAGGCGGAGAAAAGGUACAACAGGCUGUUUUCAGGAGACUCUAAUAUGACUGGCAGGGAACAAAGGAAAUGGCAUACCACCGUGGAAAGGGCAGGGCUUUUAGCACCGGACAGGCUUGGAAUCGAGCCCCAGCUCCUACAAUGACCACUGCAGGCAAGUCACUGAGGACAUCUUUCCAAGCUUCGGUUUCCUCAUUUUUUUUUUUUUUAAUAAAAUUCACUCUUUUUCUUUUAUUUUUUUUUAAAGUGAGCUCUAUACCAAACACGGGGCUUCAAGUCACGACCCUGAGGAUCAAGAGUCGCAGGCUCUACCAACUGAGCCAGCCAGGGCCCCCUUGGGUUCCUCAUUUGUUCCAGGUGAAAUUAAUAAACAGGUCACAUAGGCAUUUAGUAAAUGCUAGCUACUGUAUAACUAUCUUUUUCUUUCUUUCAUUUCAAACAAGAGUUUACUUAGGCAAAGAGACACUUGAUGGGACAACUAUCUAGGAUUCAUUUCUUUUUAGAGCAAUUUAUCUCUACUUAAAGACAAACUGUCCAACGUGCAACAGUUACGUACAAAAAAGUGAUACGACUGUCCUUGGUUUUACGAUAACAAAUGAAAAACAUGAAAAUUCUCCAAAUGAACAAGGUAUGCAAGGAUUUUGUUGUUGUUGUUGUUGUUAAAGUGAGAGCAAAAGAAUUUACUGAAAUACAAGCUAAUAGGAGCUGAAUGAGCAUGCCACUAAUGGGGAAAGGGAUUAUUUUCACUGAACCAGUAUUUCACCCCAUUCCAUAUCCAUUCAAUGUUGAUCAAAAUACAGUAAUGGCCAUUUAGUUUUUUUAAAAAAGGCCAUGUGCUUGUGUACGUACACCAGUUGCUUUAUGUACAAUGAAGGAAGGAGGAAGGGGAAAAUGAAAGAACAGAGAAAUCAUACUGCAGUGGUCAGGAUGUGGUUGAACCAAACUGCAGUCUGCUGUUGGAAUGUAUCUUCAAACUCUACUUCCAACCGUGCAUGCGUGUCUCUUUUGUGAAUUGGUUGCCCAUCAAACUGGUAUCUGAACUGCCUCACUGAUAAACCCUGUUGUGCACAAUGGCCCUCAUUAGUUUACUCAGUGGCAUACGCCUCUUAAAUUGCACCACAGAACAAUCCCGCCCUGCCACCUUCAAGUUAAUAUGACUACCGUUCUUAGUCUAGACUCCUUCCUUCCUUGGGUUUUUCACUGGCCAAGGUGAGUGCUGGAGCUCCUCAGCUGCCAUUUCACAAGAGGUCCCAGGUCUGCACCGAAUCAGUGUUCAGGCAGUAUCGUGAUAGGCAAAGGGGGUCAAACUUUACUUUUUAAAAGAUCUCAAAUGCAAAACAAAAGGACGCAUGAAUGUUGUGCUUCUGUGUAACACACAUAAUUUGGAGAAUCAAAUCUGCCGGAGUAAUGCUGGGUAUUAGAGGCAGCUGCCUUCCCAAACUACACCAGGGGCUUCUUCCAGCAAAGAGGAACACAUAAAAUCCUAGUUUAGUUUCAAUCAGUGUGCUAAAAAGCUAUUUAUUUAGUUAGCUUCCUAGAAAGAUGUUUCAUAGAAAUGAUGCCAUUUGUUAGAAUUAUGGUUUUGACUCUUUUAAAAAUUACUUUUUUCGUCCUUGAAACCUCGAAUGCAUUCUAAUAACUAUGACAAGAGGGAUCUCCUAGUCAUCACUGUGUGCUGUGCAGGAGAGAGAAGCAAGAAGUGGGGGGAGGAUGAAUAGUUAAGUCAGUCACAUGAAGUGACCACCAUGUGCUGGAUAUUAGGGAAGAUUCAAAUAAGUCAGAAGUGGCCUUGCGAUGGAGCUAGUUGUUCAGAGGUUAUCUUGAUACAUUAGAAGGGAAUAAAAGGAAACCAAUGGCAUUUCAGAUUCUGAUUUCUCUCUCCCAGGAACGUGGAAAGUUUUUCUGUUGCUCUGGCAUACAGCCGGUGCAGAGCAGACCAGUACCGGGGCGGUCUGCCAGAUGGAGAUUCUUCACCAUGCUCCUGUUCGGACGCCCGCACAAAACGUACCAGUAAGUGAUCGAUAAUUCAAGUCAAAGGCUAAACACUUUUUAAUGCCUCUAACACAAGAGCAGCUGGUGCUGGUGCCAUUGUCAAGAACAGAAGGUGCUAUGAACUGAGUAUAGCGUCAUGGAUGAGGAGGGGUCUCUUGGAGCCUCGUUUAGACACUCGGUGGCCCUCAGAAGGUGGUGUAAUUGUAAGAAGGUCUGCUGACCAUUCUCAAUCAACCCAUGGUAGAGUUUGCAAGUAAGAGUCUUUAGUAGAAACCUCACUUUCUCUAAAAUAUAGAUGUAGCAUUUGAAUGUAAGCAGAACAGCCUUGAGGCUUUGGCCUAUUCUUUGGGCAUAAUAAGCAUUUCAAAAAGGAGACUACAAUAUAUACCUGAGAAAAGAACAGUCUGGAUGCUACAUCUGUAACCAAACUAUCACUGACUGUGAAAAUCUCCAUCCUGACAAUUCUCAAAAAAGCCUUUUUUGGGCACCCUUUCCAGAUUCUCUUUCUAUUGGGUGUCUUGUCUCUCUAACA